GGAGGUAGUGACAAUAAAUCACAAUGCGGAACAAUGUUUUGCAAUUGGAUUGAGAACAACGUACAAACCUUAUCGAUAAACAAUUGGAGGGCAAGUCUGGUGCCAGCAGCCGCGGUAAUUCCAGCUCCAAUAGCGUAUAUUAACGUUGUUGCAGUUAAAAAGCUCGUAGUUGAAAUGAAGGGUAGUUGUGUAAUGAAUACAUUCGUGUAUUUUGUUAUUCAACUACCCUCCUUCUAAAUUCGAUAUAUGAGUAUUAAUUUACUUGUAUAUGGUUUUAGACGUUUACUGUGAGAAAAUUAGAGUGUUCAAAGCAGGCAUUUGCUUGAAUAUAUUAGCAUGGAAUAAUCAUGUAUGAUUUUCAUGAUGUAUUUGAUUGGUUUGGUUCAUGAGAAUAAGAUUAAAAGGGACAGUUGGGGGUAUUCAUAUUCAAUAGUCAGAGGUGAAAUUCUCGGAUUUAUGGAAGAUGAACAAGUGCGAAAGCAUUUACCAAGGAUGUUUUCAUUAAUCAAGAACGAAAGU
rnacentral:rRNA from 1 species